GGGCCGGUUAGCUCAGUCGGUUAGAGCAUGGUGCUGAUAACACCAAGGUCACGGGUUCAAUCCCCGUUUGGUCCC